rnacentral:rRNA from 1 species
GAGUUUGAUCCUGGCUCAGAGUGAACGCUGGCGGUAGGCCUAACACAUGCAAGUCGAACGGCAGCACAGUAAGAGCUUGCUCUUACGGGUGGCGAGUGGCGGACGGGUGAGGAAUACAUCGGAAUCUACUUUUUCGUGGGGGAUAACGUAGGGAAACUUACGCUAAUACCGCAUACGACCUACGGGUGAAAGCAGGGGAUCUUCGGACCUUGCGCGAUUGAAUGAGCCGAUGUCGGAUUAGCUAGUUGGCGGGGUAAAGGCCCACCAAGGCGACGAUCCGUAGCUGGUCUGAGAGGAUGAUCAGCCACACUGGAACUGAGACACGGUCCAGACUCCUACGGGAGGCAGCAGUGGGGAAUAUUGGACAAUGGGCGCAAGCCUGAUCCAGCCAUACCGCGUGGGUGAAGAA